GAGGAUGUAGCUCAUUAGGUAGAGUGCUUGCCUGACAUGCAUUAAGCCUUGGGUUGUUCACCAUCCUCC
rnacentral:tRNA from 1 species